rnacentral:rRNA from 1 species
UACGUAGGGCGCAAGCGUUGUCCGGAAUUAUUGGGCGUAAAGAGCUCGUAGGCGGCCUGUUGCGUCCGCUGUGAAAUCCCGGGGCUUAACCCCGGGUCUGCAGUGGAUACGGGCAGGCUGGAGGCAGGCAGGGGAGAACGGAAUUCCCGGUGUAGCGGUGAAAUGCGCAGAUAUCGGGAGGAACACCUGUGGCGAAAGCGGCUCACUGGACCAUAACUGACGCUGAGGCACGAAAGCUAGGGGAGCAAACAGG